UGCGUAGGUGGUUUUGUAAGCGUGGGGUGAAAGGCAAUAGCUCAACUAUUGUAAGCCCUGCGAACUGUGAGACUUGAGUGCAGGAGAGGAAAGCGGAAUUCCUAGUGUAGCGGUGAAAUGCGUAGAUAUUAGGAGGAACACCAGUGGCGAAGGCGGCUUUCUGGACUGUAACUGACACUGAGGCACGAAAGCGUGGGGGAGCAAACA
rnacentral:rRNA from 1 species